rnacentral:rRNA from 1 species
UUCGCCCUUAGAGUUUGAUCCUGGCUCAGGAUGAACGCUAGCGGCAGGCCUAAUACAUGCAAGUCGGACGGGAUUGUACCUUCGGGUACAUGAGAGUGGCGCACGGGUGCGUAACACGUAUGUAACCUACCUUCAUCAGGGGGAUAGCCUCUCGAAAGAGAGAUUAACACCGCAUAACAUUACGGGAUAGCAUUAUCUGGUAAUCAAAUAUUUAUAGGAUGAAGAUGGGCAUGCGGGACAUUAGCUAGUUGGCGGGGUAACGGCCCACCAAGGCGACGAUGUCUAGGGGAUCUGAGAGGAUGGCCCCCCACACUAGUACUGAGACACGGACCAGACUCCUACGGGAGGCAGCAGUAAGGAAUAUUGGUCAAUGGGCGCAAGCCUGAACCAGCCACGCCGCGUGCAGGAAGACGGCCCUAUGGGUUGUAAACUGCUUUUGCGCCGGAAUAAACCCCUUUAUGUAUAGAGGGCUGAAUGUACGGCGAGAAUAAGGAUCGGCUAACUCCGUGCCAGCAGCCGCGGUAAUACGGAGGAUCCGAGCGUUAUCCGGAUUUAUUGGGUUUAAAGGGUGCGCAGGCGGCCUGUUAAGUCAGGGGUGAAAGCGGAUAGCUCAACUAUCCAAGUGCCUUUGAUACUGACGGGCUUGAAUGCAGCUGA